GUAGUCAUAUGCUUGUCUCAAAGAUUAAGCCAUGCAUGUCUAAGUAUAAGCACUUUAUACUGUGAAACUGCGAAUGGCUCAUUAAAUCAGUUAUCGUUUAUUUGAUAGUACCUUACUACAUGGAUACCUGUGGUAAUUCUAGAGCUAAUACAUGCUAAAAACCUCGACUUCGGAAGGGGUGUAUUUAUUAGAUAAAAAACCAAUGCCCUUCGGGGCUCCUUGGUGAAUCAUAAUAACUUAACGAAUCGCAUGGCCUUGCGCCGGCGAUGGUUCAUUCAAAUUUCUGCCCUAUCAACUUUCGAUGGUAGGAUAGUGGCCUACCAUGGUGGCAACGGGUAACGGGGAAU
rnacentral:rRNA from 1 species